AGAGUUUGAUCCUGGCUCAGGAUGAACGCUAGCGACAGGCUUAACACAUGCAAGUCGAGGGGCAGCGGUGGUGAAGGCUUGCCUUUACCAGCCGGCGACCGGCGCACGGGUGAGUAACACGUAUGCAACCUGCCUGCCACAGCCGGAUAAUCGGGAGAAAUUCCGUCUAAUACGGCAUAAUGCAUCGACGGGACAUCCUGUUGGUGCCAAAGGUUGAUUCCGGUGGCGGAUGGGCAUGCGUCGCAUUAGUUAGUUGGCGGUGUAACGGACCACCAAGACGACGAUGCGUAGGGGUUCUGAGAGGAAGGUCCCCCACACUGGUACUGAGACACGGACCAGACUCCUACGGGAGGCAGCAGUGAGGAAUAUUGGUCAAUGGGCGGGAGCCUGAACCAGCCAAGUCGCGUGAGGGAUGACGGCCCUAUGGGUUGUAAACCUCUUUUGCCGGGGAGCAAAGUGCCGCACGUGUGCGGUUUGGAGAGUACCCGGAGAAAAAGCAUCGGCUAACUCCGUGCCAGCAGCCGCGGUAAUACGGAGGAUGCGAGCGUUAUCCGGAUUUAUUGGGUUUAAAGGGUGCGUAGGCGGACGCUUAAGUCAGCGGUAAAAUUGCGGGGCUCAACCCCGUCGUGCCGUUGAAACUGAUGCCCUUGAGUGAGUGAGAAGUAAGCGGAAUGCGUGGUGUAGCGGUGAAAUGCAUAGAUAUCACGCAGAACGCCGAUUGCGAAGGCAGCUUACCGGCGCUCAACUGACGCUGAGGCACGAAAGUGCGGGUAUCGAACAGGAUUAGAUACCCUGGUAGUCCGCACAGUAAACGAUGAAUGCUAGAUGUCCGGGGCGAAUGAGCUUUGGGUGUCACAGCGAAAGCGUUAAGCAUUCCACCUGGGGAGUACGCCGGCAACGGUGAAACUCAAAGGAAUUGACGGGGGGCCCGCACAAGCGGAGGAACAUGUGGUUUAAUUCGAUGAUACGCGAGGAACCUUACCCGGGCUCAAACGCCUCAGGAAUCAUUUGUGAAAGCAGAUGAGUCUUCGGACCUGAGGCGAGGUGCUGCAUGGUUGUCGUCAGCUCGUGCCGUGAGGUGUCGGCUUAAGUGCCAUAACGAGCGCAACCCCCACCGACAGUUGCUAACUGGUUAAGCAGAGGACUCUGUCGGGACUGCCGGCGCAAGCUGUGAGGAAGGCGGGGAUGACGUCAAAUCAGCACGGCCCUUACGUCCGGGGCGACACACGUGUUACAAUGGCAGGUACAGCGGGAAGCGACCGAGCGAUCGGCAGCGGAACCCGAAAACCUGUCUCAGUUCGGAUCGGAGUCUGCAACCCGACUCCGUGAAGCUGGAUUCGCUAGUAAUCGCGCAUCAGCCAUGGCGCGGUGAAUACGUUCCCGGGCCUUGCACACACCGCCCGUCA
rnacentral:rRNA from 1 species